rnacentral:rRNA from 1 species
AUUGAACGCUGGCGGCAGGCCUAACACAUGCAAGUCGAGCGAGCGGCGGACGGGUGAGUAAUGGAUGGGGACUGCCCGAUAGAGGGGGAUAACUAAUGGGAACGGUGGCGAAUACCGCAUACCUUCGGAUAACCCAUAUGGGAUUAGCUAUUAGGUGGGGUAAAGGCUCACCUAGGCGACGAUCUCUAGCUGGUCUGAGAGGAUGAUCACCCACACUGUGACUGAGACACGGCCCAGACUCAUACGGAGGCAGCAGUGGGGAAUAUUGCACAAUGGGCGCAAGCCUGAUGCAGCCAUGCCGCGUGUAUGAAGAAGGCCUUAGGGUUGUAAAGUCCUUUCAGCGGGGAGGCGUUACCCGCAGAAGAAGCACAGGCUAACUCCGUGCCAGCAGCCGCGGUAAUUC